rnacentral:tRNA from 1 species
GGCGGGGUGUCAGAUUUUUAUGAGUUGGUUUUAAGCACCAGAUAUGGAGGUUUGCUCUCCCCCUGCUG